rnacentral:rRNA from 1 species
CACGUAGGGCGCAAGCGUUGUCCGGAAUUAUUGGGCGUAAAGAGCUCGUAGGCGGUCUGUUGCGUCUGCUGUGAAAACUCGGGGCUUAACCCCGAGCCUGCAGUGGAUACGGGCAGACUAGAGGUAGGUAGGGGAGAAUGGAAUUCCCGGUGUAGCGGUGAAAUGCGCAGAUAUCGGGAGGAACACCGGUGGCGAAGGCGGCGACCUGGGACGAUACUGACGCUGAGGUGCGAAAGCGUGGGGAGCAACAGG